ACACGUAGGGGGCGAGCGUUGUCCGGAUUUAUUGGGCGUAAAGAGCUCGUAGGCGGCUUGGCAAGUCGGCCGUGAAAACCCGGGGCUCAACCCCGGGACGCCGGUCGAAACUGCCAUGGCUAGGGUCCGGUAGAGGUGAGUGGAAUUCUCGGUGUAGCGGUGAAAUGCGCAGAUAUCGAGAGGAACACCAGUAGCGAAGGCGGCUCACUGGGCCGGUACCGACGCUGAGGAGCGAAAGCGUGGGGAGCAAACAGGAUUAGAAACCCCGGUAGUCC
rnacentral:rRNA from 1 species